rnacentral:lncRNA from 1 species
GUCCAGAAAUGAGGGACAGUGCUGACAAGGUGGUCAGCAUGGGUUGGAACUAUCCCCUGCGAGACCACUCCUCAAGGCAAGUCAUGGUAAACCAAAGAAGUUACCAAGAUCCUCAAGGUGGAAUCACUGACAUUGGAAACUACUGUCAAAAGAAAUCGAGGAAAACCACAGAAGAGAAUCCCAAGAAUGAAAGGACACCCUCUGUUGCUCAGACUUGGAACAAGGCGAGGAACAGCGCCGCAGCGACUGGGAGCCCCGUGGCCGCGACAUCAAGGCUCAGGCAGUCGCAGGGCCCCUGGGCGGCUCAGCGGAUUGAGCCUCUGACUUGUGCUUUGGGCCCAGGUCAUGACCCCGGGCCGUGGGAUCGCGCGACCGCAGGCUCCGAGCUCAGCGGGCUCUGCUCCGUGCUCUGUCCCUCGCUCUCUGCUCCUCCCUGCUUGCUCACUCUGUCUAAAAUAAGCAAAUAAAUCAAUCUUAGGAAAAACAGAAAACCUCAAGCAGCUGGAUAUGGA